rnacentral:lncRNA from 1 species
UAUAAUAAUAAUUACCUUGUUCACCAAGGGCCUCCCUAUAAUACUUCUAUCUCCAUGGAAAAAUAGAAAAGACAGGCAGUACUUCAGCUUCCCCAAAAUGACCCCAGUUUAUCCACUUAUACGUGCUGCCCCAUAAGAAAAUAUGCAUCAUCCAAAUUCCCCAUUUCUUCAGAACCUUUUAAUGAUAAUGUAACCAAAUAUGGCAUUCUAAACAAUUACCUGAAGACUGGACAAAAUCUAUAAUAACAACAAUUCAUAAAAAAGGCAGCUUCCAUAAAUACGACAAUUAUAGAACUAUUUCUCUUAUAUCACAUGCCAGUAAAGUAAUGCUACAUAUAAUCACGAGGUUAUAUCUUCAUAUAUGCCACGAUGUUAUAUCUUCAUAAUGCCACGAUACAUAUAAUCUCCUACGAUGUUAUAUCUUCUCAAUAUUGUAUUACGGAGUUGAAUCCUGGACACUCACUGAAGCAAUGGAGAAAAAACUUGAAGCCUUCGAGAUGUGGCUAUACAGCCAAAUCCUAAGGAUAUCAUGGACGGACAAGAUAACCAACGAGACCGUAUUACGAAGAGUGGGCACAGAAAGAGAGGUGAUGUAUACCAUUAAAAGAAGAAAGUUAGAAUAUCUCGGACACAUAAAGUGAAACGGCACUAAAUACAGAUUACUGAAGGUAAUCCUUCAAGGUAGUGUAUUCGGAAAGCGACGAAUUGGGAGAAGAAGAAUAUCAUGGUUAAAGAACCUGAGGAAAUGGUUCUCCACAACAACAACUAAUCUAUUUAAAGCAUCCGUUAAUUAAAUAUUUAUAGCCAGAAUGAUCGCCGAUAUUCGAAACGAAUAGGCACUAAAAGAAGAAGAACAUAUAAACAAUGAGUGACUAAAAACAUUCCUUCAAAGAGAAAUUCCACAAGAGCAAACUGGAUUUACCAAAGGUAGAGGUACUCGAGAACACCUGUUGAAUAUAAGACAAAUAAUCGAAAAAUCUACGGAAUUCAAUAUUCCACUGUACAUAUGCUUUAUAGAUUAUCGUAAGGCGUUCGACAGGGUCAAGUGAAGACACUUAUGGCGAAUACUAAAAAAAGUAAGCGUACCUCAACACCUUAUUUCGCUUAUAACUGAACUAUACGAACACACUACUGGAUCAGUUAAAGUUCUUGACACACUUUCAAACGAAUUUCAUCCAGAACGGGGUGUCAAACAGGGAUAUAUACUGUCUCCACAGUUAUUCAAUAUAUAUGGAGAGCAUAUUAUAAGAAGAGCACUUGCAGGAUGGGAAAAAGGCAUCUCAAUAAAUGGUCAUAAAAUAAACAACCUACGUUUCGCAAAUGACACAGACCUUCUUGCAAAUAGUCAAGCAGAGCUGAUUGAUCUUAUACGACUGGUUGAAAACGAAAGUCAAAUAUUUGGCCUGCAAUUAAACAUAUCAAAGGCAAAGAUCAUGAUAGUGGAUAGACUACAUAACAAUCAUCCACACAUAACCACAAUUGAUCGGUUUGAAGUUGUGAGCUCAUACUUAUAUCUGGGAUCAUUAAUUAAUCACAAACACAGGGUAACUACAAGAAGAAAUAAAAAGUAUAUGUGAUCUAGCAAAAGUCGCCACAGCAAAAAUGACCACAAUAUGGAAGGACUGUCAAAUUUCAAGAGCGGUAAAAAUGAGGUUGAUCAACUGCUUAAUAUUCCCAAUACUGACCUACGGAUGCAAGGUCAUAGAUAGGGGUUAGGUUAUCUCAUAACUAUGUGGGCAGAAGCGAGAGGGAGGGGAAUGUCUACGUCACUCGUACGACAAAGUCAAGUUUGACAGUUGUUUGUGGUUAUAUUUCCGUAUAUUUUUGUGGAAUUUUCUUAUAAUAUCGUUUAUUUGUUUAAUAUUUGUUGAGUUUUUAAGCAUAUAAGGACAAUAUUACUAUAAUUACUUAUUUGGGUCCUAUACAAAGGCAGUAAUGACUUGUGAAGUGUGUUUUCGUAACCGUGUAAAAUGAGUGGUGGUAACAUUUGUAGCAUAGCUAUAUGUAAAAGCAACUCCAAAAUUCCUGAACCAGAUGGAAACAAAAUAAUGU